rnacentral:lncRNA from 1 species
GUCAUGGCAAAGCGUAAUUGAUCUCAAGUUGGCCGGAACAAAAAAUGUAAAUUUUACGUUACCUAAGGAGUGAAAAAGGGAUUCGUCGUUAGUUCUAGCGACUAAAGGCAAUAUGGAGAUACCCAGAGAUUUGUCAGCGGAGAACAUUACCUUCUCCAAGGA